rnacentral:rRNA from 1 species
CAGUAGCCGCGGUAAUACGAAGGGUGCAAGCGUUACUCGGAAUUAUUGGGCGUAAAGGGUGCGUAGGCGGUUUGGCAAGUUUGGUGUGAAAUCUUCGGGCUCAACUCGAAGUCUACAUCGAAAACUGCCGGGCUUGAGUAUGGGAGAGGUGAGUGGAAUUUCCGGUGUAGCGGUGAAAUGCGUAGAUAUUGGAAGGAACACCUGUGGCGAAAGCGGCUCACUGGACCAUAACUGACGCUGAUGCACGAAAGCUAGGGGAGCAAACAGGAUUAGAUACCCCGGUAGUCCCUGUCUCUUAUAA